rnacentral:rRNA from 1 species
UACGUAGGUGGCGAGCGUUGUCCGGAUUUACUGGGCGUAAAGCGCGCGCAGGCGGCCUGAUCAGUCUGGGGUGAAAUCUCACGACUCAACUGUGAGCGGUCCCUGGAUACUGUCAGUCUUGAGAUGUCUAGAGGAGAGCGGAAUUCCGGGUGUAGCGGUGGAAUGCGUAGAGAUCCGGAAGAACACAGGUGGGGAAGGCGGCCUGCUGGGCAGUGUAGCUGACACUGAGGCGCGACAGCGUGGGGAGCAAACAGG